rnacentral:rRNA from 1 species
UGGGGAAUAUUGCGCAAUGGGCGAAAGCCUGACGCAGCGACGCCGCGUGAGGGAUGAAGGUUUUCGGAUCGUAAACCUCUGUCAGAAGGGAAGAAACCGCACUGUGCUAAUCAGCAGUGCCUUGACGGUACCUUCAAAGGAAGCACCGGCUAACUCCGUGCCAGCAGCCGCGGUAAUACGGAGGGUGCAAGCGUUAAUCGGAAUUACUGGGCGUAAAGCGCACGUAGGCUGCUUUGUAAGUCAGGGGUGAAAUCCCACGGCUCAACCGUGGAACUGCCUUUGAUACUGGUUAGCUUGAAUCCGGGAGAGGGUGGCGGAAUUCCAGAUGUAGGAGUGAAAUCCGUAGAUAUCUGGAGGAACAUCAGUGGCGAAGGCGGCCACCUGGACCGGUAUUGACGCUGAGGUGCGAAAGCGUGGGGAGCAAACAGG